rnacentral:rRNA from 1 species
AGAGUUUGAUCAUGGCUCAGAACGAACGCUGGCGGCGUGGAUAAGACAUGCAAGUCGAACGAAAUUUAAACGGUAGCAAUAUUGUUUAAGUUGAGUGGCGCAAGGGUGCGUAACACGUGGGCAAUUUGCCGUAAAGAUUGGGAUAACCCCGAGAAAUCGGAGCUAAUACCGGAUGUGGUUGUUGGAAGGCAUCUUUUGACAACUAUGUCUGGGGACCGCAGGGCCUGACACUUUACGAUAAGCCCGCGGCCUAUCAGCUAGUUGGUGAGGUAACGGCUCACCAAGGCUAAGACGGGUAGCUGGUCUGAGAGGACGACCAGCCACACUGGAACUGAGACACGGUCCAGACACCUACGGGUGGCAGCAGUCGAGAAUUUUUCUCAAUGGGGGAAACCCUGAAGGAGCGACGCCGCGUGGGGGAUGAAUGGCUUCGGCCCGUAAACCCCU